ACAACAGGAGGGGAUAUCGAGACAUUUUGUCUACAACUGGUGUGGGGGCACCGAACGCUGAUUAGAAAUAUCAAUGUUUAACCCCUGGGGGGUGGUCGGCAGAUAUCUGGACAUGCUGUAUGCAUGAUAGUGCAAACCUUGGUUUCAAACGAUCCCCUACAGAGAGGAAGUGCCUUGAGUGCAGAUGCCUGGGCACAGUCCUACUGGCCCGUCACACGCACACUCACUCGCGCACCCUGAUUGUCUAUGUCUUUUUUCUUCGCGACAGACCGGGGUGAUGAUGUAAAAUACAUUUUCCUAUCGUUAAUAAAGGACAUUACAUUUCUCUGCGACAGACCAGGGCGUGAGAGAAAAGACAGUUUCCCCUUUCGUUAAAGGAUAAAGGGGCUGGUUAGCCAUGACCAUUAUCCGUUUCCAAUUCACCAUCGCAAAGACGCUUGCCUGCUCCAUCAAAGCAUUUUCCUAUCGUUAAAGGGUGAGAUACUGUUUUAAAUGUAUUUUAUUUUUAAAAAGUCAAUAAACAUGUGUGUAAAGUGUACACGUUUGUUUCACUGUAGAUUUGUUUAAGCCCACCUAGAAACACCUGAUUUAUCCCACAGCAUUAAUGAAUAAGCUGGGUAGAAACUGUUUAGCCAUAAGUAAAGGCCUUUCAUAAAGAGGCUGUCAUGAUUGACUGUGACACAUAUUUAACACUUAUUGCUUGUUACCGAAGACUACUGUUGCACAUUGAAUAUCCAUUCAUCCCUGUUACACCUUUAUGUGUUGGCUCUCUAUGUCUGUACAUAGUGUGAAAUGUGGUUUCCCUAAAGUUAUUACACCCUAAACCUGAAUCUGAAAUUACCUUUAGGAUCUUUUCUUUGGGGUUCUAAUCUCCCCGGUGUACAUGCACCGAACAUCCAUAGGCUGGAGCCAUCUGGAAGCUCUGUGCAUGUACAUAUAAAGAGAACUAAAUAGGAAACUCAACAGUGUGUUCGGCUGAGAAACAUUAUUUAGAUGGCUGUUUUAUUGUUGUUGAAAGCUUGAAAUGGACACAAUGCCAAGGGACCUUGUUUCUAACACACACACACACGCGCACACACACACACACACACACACACACACACACACACACACACACACACACACACACACACACACACACACACACACACACACACACACACACACAAUCGCCCUCCCAGACAUUCCUGCUUCAUAGAUAGCAACCAUAAGGACAAUAAAACUGGGGGUGUGGGGCCAUACUCUUUCAAAAGUUCAAACACAAAACCCCCCCAGUUCAACCAGUCCUAGACAUCAAUCAGCAUGACAACUUCAAAGGAAUAGAUGCAAUAUAGAUAUAAAAUAACACACCCUCUAACACGUGACAACAGGAACAGGAUGUCCUGGCCGGAUGCCCAUAUUUGGACAUGUACGCGUCAUCUGGACACAGGGCCAUAAAUCAAAAUUUUGACCCGUGCCGUCUACUUUAUUCUCUCUUAGGUUCUAGAAAUAUGUGUUUUAUUUCCUUGCCUGUUUGCCUGUGAGCCAAUGCCACAGAUGUUAGAAAAUUGAGACAAGAUACUAUGUGUAGCAAAUCUAAGUAGGUUGAUGUGUAUGAUAUUGGAUGUGAUAUAGUGAGAGUGUGUACAAUAUCUGUAUAAGAGUAAGACUAUAAUGUGUGAAGUCCCAAAUAAAUAAUAACUCUGCCAAUUUGCAUAGUUGAGUGUCUAUGUGUGUAACAUGUAGUGUGUAUAGCCUUAAUAUUCAUGAUGAUAAUUGUAAUCCAUAUCGUAUCACCUUCACAGUUGCAUCAUAAUUACCUUAAUAAUUGAAAAACACAUCCCAGUAUUUCCAUAGCAAUUGACGUUUCACAUGAUCAUGAAAGAGACCUUUCAUUGCUCUGGAGACGGCUUCACUACAGUA